UUUAUUUUCUCGUAAGGGAAUGAGUCAGUCGUACAGAAGUGAUCGUUGGAGUAGUUUAGUCUUUAUUUUCUCCAUGUUUUUCGUUUCGAAAUAAAAAUCUAGUUCUUCGAAAUAAUUGUGUGUGAUUUCAAUGACAGAAUCUACUAAUAAUGGAAAGAAAUACAAUCUUCAUAGACUUUACGCAAUCCAUAAAAAAAAGAAAAAGAAAAAGAAAAAAAAAUAAAGAAAAUGCAGGAUUUUUAAUCUGCAUCACUGAUGGGUUAUCAAAAUAUUAUAUCAAUUUUUGCAACGCUCAAUGAUGUAAGGAGUGUAUAAUGCAAUACAAACAAUUGAGCAACUGUAUUCUAAAUAUCAUUGCGGAAAGUCCAAUAACCACCAUGGUCAACGAGUCGUACUAAAGUCAUUUCUCCACGUGGAUCUGGAUCUUCAACAUAUACUCUAACCCAUCUGUCAUACCAAUUAGCAACAAGGAUCAUUCCUUCUGUUGACAGUAAUAUAUAUA